UACGUAGGGGGGCUAGCGUUGUCCCGGAUUUAUUGGGGCGUAAAGAGCGUGUAGGUGGCCAGGUAGGUCUGCUGUGAAAACUCGAGGCUCAACCUCGAGACGUCGGCGGAAACCAUCUGGCUAGAGUCCGGAAGAGGAGAGUGGAAUUCCUGGUGUAGCGGUGAAAUGCGCAGAUAUCAGGAGGAACACCGGUGGCGAAGGCGGAUCUCUGGCCAUUACUGACGCUGAGGAGCGAAGCGUGGAGCGAACAGG
rnacentral:rRNA from 1 species